UACGGGGGGGGUAAGCGUUGUUCGGAAUUACUGGGCGUAAAGGGCUCGUAGGCGGCCAACUAAGUCAUACGUGAAAUCCCUCAGCUUAACUGGGGAACUGCGUGUGAUACUGGAUGGCUUGGAUUUGGGAGAGGGAUGCGGAAUUCCAGGUGUAGCGGUGAAAUGCGUAGAUAUCUGGAGGAACACCGGUGGCGAAGGCGGCAUCCUGGACCAAUAUUGACGCUGAG
rnacentral:rRNA from 1 species